AAUAGUUUAAUGUCACGUUAGCAAUUUCAUCCUGAAUUUCAGUAUUUUCACCCUAAAAAAAAAUUAAAUCCAAAUGAAAACCCUAUAAUUCAAGAUUAAAUUGCUAACAUGGCAUUAAACUAUU
rfam:Gossypium hirsutum cultivar TM-1 unplaced genomic scaffold scaffold251.1, whole genome shotgun sequence